UAGGGAAUCUUCCGCAAUGGGCGAAAGCCUGACGGAGCAACGCCGCGUGCGUGAUGAAGGUCUUCGGAUCGUAAAACUCUGUUAUUAGGGAAGAACAAAUGUGUAAGUAACUAUGCACGUCUUGACGGUACCUAAUCAGAAAGCCACGGCUAACUACGUGCCAGCAGCCGCGGUAAUACGUAGGUGGCAAGCGUUAUCCGGAAUUAUUGGGCGUAAAGCGCGCGUAGGCGGUUUUUUAAGUCUGAUGUGAAAGCCCACGGCUCAACCGUGGAGGGUCAUUGGAAACUGGAAAACUUGAGUGCAGAAGAGGAGAGUGGAAUUCCAUGUGUAGCGGUGAAAUGCGCAGAGAUAUGGAGGAACACCAGUGGCGAAGGCGACUUUCUGGUCUGUAACUGACGCUGAUGUGCGAAAGCGUGGGGAUCAAACAGG
rnacentral:rRNA from 1 species